rnacentral:rRNA from 1 species
AUACGGAGGGUGCAAGCGUUAUCCGGAAUCAUUGGGUUUAAAGGGUCCGUAGGCGGGCAAAUAAGUCAGAGGUGAAAUCCCACAGCUCAACUGUGGAACUGCCUUUGAUACUGUUUGUCUUGAGAUAUAGUGAAGUAGAUAGAAUAUGUAGUGUAGCGGUGAAAUGCAUAGAUAUUACAUAGAAUACCGAUUGCGAAGGCAGUCUACUAACUAUUGACUGACGCUAAUGGACGAAAGCGUGGGGAGCGAACAGGAUUAGAAACCCCAGUAGUCC